GUAGGUGUGUCGGAGUGGCUAUCGAGAAUGACUAGUAAUCAUAUGGGCAUUGCCCCCGCAGGUUCAAGUCCAGUCGCUCAUG
rnacentral:tRNA from 1 species